rnacentral:tRNA from 3 species
GUCGAAGUGGUGGAAUUGGCAGACACGCACGAUUCAGGUUCGUGUAGCGAAAGCUAUUGAGGGUUCGAGUCCCUUCUUCGACA